AGGACGGGUCGUGUGGCAGUG
rnacentral:miRNA from 1 species